GGGUGCGAUCAUACCAGCACUAAUGCACCGGAUCCCAUCAGAACUCCGCAGUUACGCAUGCUUGGGCGAGAAUAGUUUUAAGAUGGGUUUGUCCUAUGACUUUCAUAGACACAGGCU
rnacentral:rRNA from 1 species